AUUGAACGCUGGCGGAAUGCUUUACACAUGCAAGUCGAGCGGCAGCACGGGGGCAACCCUGGUGGCGAGCGGCGAACGGGUGAGUAAUACAUCGGAACAUGCCCAGUCGUGGGGGAUAACACUUCGAAAGAAGUGCUAAUACCGCAUACGUCCUGAGGGAGAAAGCGGGGGAUCUUCGGACCUCGCGCGAUUGGAGUGGCCGAUGUCAGAUUAGCUAGUUGGUGGGGUAAAGGCCUACCAAGGCAACGAUCUGUAGCUGGUCUGAGAGGAUGAUCAGCCACACUGGAGCUGAGACACGGCCCAGACUCCUACGGGAGGCAGCAGUGGGGAAUUUUGGACAAUGGGGGCAACCCUGAUCCAGCCAUUCCGCGUGAGUGAAGAAGGCCUUCGGGUUGUAAAGCUCUUUCGGCAGGAACGAAACGGCGAGCUCUAACAUAGCUUGCUAAUGACGGUACCUGAAGAAGAAGCACUGGCUAACUACGUGCCAGCCGCCGCCGUAAGAC
rnacentral:rRNA from 1 species